CAAGGACAGAGCCCGGUAGGCCUCAGCCCUCCUGCAAUGACCAACCUGUGUGCUUGGUCCUCCCCAAUCCACAGAAACGGGCCGGAGGCCAGAUGAGAAACUUAGGCCAGGCUUCACUGGGGCCCCUGCUGCAGCAGGAGGCAGCAAGAACAAACAGGUUCCCUUGCUCACUCUCCGAGGGGUGAGCUGGUACUGGAGGCAAGAUCAGAAACAGAAGUGGACUCAGCCUGGAGGAGCUGGAGAUUUAUGACAGCGUCUCGAGUGUGCUCAACACGUCAGCAUAACGUUUUCUGGAAUCAGAAUCCUUACCAUUAAAAAUAGAAUAUGGAAUGGGGUUGGAAGAACCAAGAAUGAUUUUUACCAUUACCAGCUUCUAGCUGUGUGACCUCGGCAACAGCUUGUUACAAAUUGCAGUCCCCAUUCUUAGGUGACAUGUUACAAGGUUCUGGACACAGUUCCAAUCAAUGUGUGUUUUGGGGGCGGGUUUCCCAUAGCACCAAGGAGCAACUCUCUCACAUCAGCUGGGUGUCCUCCAGUACAACUCAGUUCUGACAUUUCUCACCCAGAGGUGAGCCAAGAAGAGAGGCCGCAGAAGGAACCAGUCCUGCAGUCACCUGAUCUCGGACUCCAGCCUCCAGAACUGUGAGGAAACGGAUUUCUGUUGUGUAAGCCCUCCAUCUGCGGCAGUCUGUGCAAACCAGUGUGCUAGCCUGCCACUGUCCCUGGGCUCCUCCAGAUCUGGGGACAGCAAGGCCACAGAAAUGUGUAUUGCUCCUGCAAGGCUCUUUGGUAGCCAAAAUUUUAUACUGGAAG
ensembl:lncRNA